rnacentral:rRNA from 1 species
CCUACGGGUGGCAGCAGUGGGGAAUCUUGCGCAAUGCGCGAAAGCGUGACGCAGCAACGCCGCGUGGGGGAAGACGGCCUUCGGGUUGUAAACCCCUUUCAGGAGGGACGAAGGCUCGGCGGUGAAUAGCCGUCCGGGUUGACGGUACCUCCAGAAGAAGCUCCGGCUAACUACGUGCCAGCAGCCGCGGUAAUACGUAGGGAGCAAGCGUUGUCCGGAAUCAUUGGGCGUAAAGCGCGCGUAGGCGGCCUCGUAAGUCCGUUGUGAAAGUCAAAGGCUCAACCUUUGAAAGCCGAUGGAUACUGUGAGGCUAGAGUCCGGAAGAGGCGAGUGGAAUUCCUGGUGUAGCGGUGGAAUGCGCAGAUAUCAGGAGGAACACCGAUAGCGAAGGCAGCUCGCUGGGACGGUACUGACGCUAAGGCGCGAAAGCGUGGGGAGCG